ACCUCCCGACCUCCCACAAUUUCUCACUGUCUGUCUCCUGCCCUAAAAUGUGAACUUCCCGAGGGCAGGCACCCUGUCUCUUUCUUUACUGUGUCCCCAGGGCCUGGAAUAUGUCUGGCAGGGAGUAGUUGCUCAACAGGUAUCUGCUAAGUGAGUAAAAGAAGCAGACUCUUCUUGGUCUGCAGAGAACCCUCCCUCAGUCUCAGUGUAGCGGUGAGAGCCUGACACCUCUGGCGAAGGGAAGUGAGAAGGUGCAGCUUGGCCGGGCACCAUGGGAAACGACUUUAUGGAGUUACCAGUGUGACCCUGCACCGGCGGUGGUUUGGACAUCUGGAGAGAAAUGACAGAGGCUGAGGGGAAAUCAGGAGCAAGAAGGAAAGAGAGGCAGCCCGGGGAAGUGACUUUUGCCACCUGCAUCCCAACACAGAUCAACUUUUUCCAACCCGGUUUGAAAACAAGGGGGAAGUCACAUGACCUACAACCAGCAACUACGACUGACCCAAUGCAGCCAUGGAUACACAUGCCUCUCAGGAGGAAGAUAAAUCAUAUGAAAGUGGAAAGGAAUCCACCUUAAACCCAGGGAGCAGUUACAUCAGAGGACACAGCCCAUGUGGUCCUGAAAGUGAACAAGGUGAAGAUGGCUUAAAUGUUGAAAAGAGCAGCAUUUCCUUCCUGCAGACGCAUCUUCCAGGGACUCUAAAUCAGACUCCUGCUCACCCUGAAAUCUUGAACCAUCGCCUGGACUGUCAAAAGCCUGUAUCUGUUCUUACCAAGGACCACUGCUGUCAGUCUCCCAGACACGUACCAGUAUUAAGCAUGCAAACUGGAUUUAUAGCUCCCAAUACCAUGAUGGCAGGUGCUGGGAGAGGUGAUUCUGAAGGACACAGGGGCAUAAAAUGAGGCUGUGGAGUAGCAGAGAUGAAUUGAGGGCUCUGAAGUAACAUGGGGAAGUUAUGCUAGCCUAUGUUUCAUCUGUAUGCUCUUGGUUACAAGGACUGACCACCCAAAGUGAGGGGAGGGCACUCCUACAGUGGAGCAGAAUCGUUCCCCAGGAUGCACCCGGACAGGGAGCCAGGGUGGGCAGGGAGACGCCAGGGUGAAUGUGGCUGGGAAGUUGGGCUGGGUCAGGAGUUCUUCAAAAGUGGCCAUUUGGCUCUCAUGGUUUCCACUGAGCAGACUAUACCUCAUGGGGUGCUGACCUGGUUGUGUUUAUAUUAUGCCAGCAUGAUUUCAACCCCGAAGAAGCCAAUCUUUCUCUGUUUCUGGUUGAUAGUUAUUGCUCUCUAAUGCCUAGGUGACAGUAGUUACUGCCACCUCAGUUUACAGUAUUAAAAUCUCACACGUAGAUCACAGUGGAGAAACAGAAGUUUCAUCCAUAAAAACACUUGGUUGAGAACUACACCUACAUAACAGCCACAUGUUAGCUACAGGGUCAUAUCCUGGGACCCAUACAGUAUUGACAGCCAAAUAUCCUUUUUAAACCCUACCCAUCUCUCACCUCAACUCUUAACACUCUGCCCCUUGGGAAUGGCACCUAAAAAACCCACAGAAAUGGAAAUUCAGGCAUUCUCACAACAAGCUUUCACAUAGACAUACCAAGCAAGAGGGACAGAGAGAUGUUGACUGGGCAACACAGGUGCAAAGACAGAGGGUCCCUGAAGCCAGCAGGUACCAGACAAGGGAAAUCAUACCCAGUCCCUGUGUGAGACACAGCCUCUGUCCAGACUUGAAUCAGGCCUAAGGCUAGAGUCUGUGGGCAGGGAAAGGCCCAAGCGAUCAGGGCAGUCUUCUGUGUGCUUUGGGGGAGCAAGGGAGACUGAGGAGAGGCCCUGGGAAAAACUAUUGGGGAAGGGAGGGUAUAAGGGGAGAGAGGCCAAAGAAGCAGCUGUUAUGUCUUCAGCCAAGAACAUUCCACAUGAA